ensembl:snRNA U2 U2 spliceosomal RNA
AUCGCUUCUCGGCCUUUUGGCUAAGAUCAAGUGUAGUAUCUGUUCUUAUCAGUUUAAUAUCUGAUACGUCCCCUACCCGGGGACCAUAUAUUAAAUUGAUUUUUGGAGCAGGGAGAUGGAAUAGGGCUUGCUCCGUCCACUCCACGCAUCGACCCGGUAUUGCAGUACUUCCGGGAACGGUGCACCCCCC